GAAAAUCUGAAUAGCUAUGAAAUGGAAUGAUUUGGUAAACCAAUCCAUAAUGACCAAAUUCUCUCAGAACCAUGAGAAGUACGAGGCAACCACUUAUGAAGUCCACAAUGAUCCACUCCCAUUUCCACUCAGGAAUGAGUAAUCUCUGAAGUAAAUAACUCGAUCUCUGAUGCUCGAGCUCCACCUACCGACAACACAAGAAACAAG
rnacentral:lncRNA from 1 species